UAUUGCAUCGAGAUUUGAAACCACAGAACCUCCUCAUUAAUGAAAAAGGAGAAUUAAAGCUAGCAGAUUUUGGACUAGCCCGAGCCAAGUCGGUUCCCACAAAGACCUACUCAAAUGAAGUUGUCACACUAUGGUACCGGCCACCUGAUGUGCUUCUUGGUUCCUCGGAGUACUCAACACAGAUUGACAUGUGGGGUGUUGGUUGCAUUUUCUUUGAAAUGGCUUCUGGAAGACCUUUAUUUCCAGGAUCAACUGUGGAAGAUGAACUGCACUUAAUUUUCCGACUGCUAGGAACUCCAUCUCAGGAAACUUGGCCAGGUAUUUCUUCAAAUGAGGAGUUCAAGAACUACAACUUUCCAAAAUAUAAACCACAGCCUCUAAUUAACCACGCACCCAGAGUCUCGCUCUUCCACCCAGGCCGGACUGCAGUGGUGCUAUCUCAGGUUAGACUCUGAAGGAAUUGAGUUGAUAACAAAAUUUCU
rnacentral:sRNA from 1 species